AUUGAACGCUGGCGGCAGGCCUAACACAUGCAAGUCGAACGAGUGGCGGACGGGUGAGUAAUGUCUGGGACACUGCCUGAUGGAGGGGGAUAACUUCUGGAAACGGUAGCUAAUCCCGCAUACCAUCGGAUGUGCCCAGAUGGGAUUAGCUAGUAGGUGGGGUAACGGCUCACCUAGGCGACGAUCCCUAGCUGGUCUGAGAGGAUGACCAGCCAAACUGGAACUGAGACACGGUCCAGACGCCUACGGAGGGAGGCGGUGGGGAAUAUUGCACAAUGGGCGCAAGCCUGAUGCAGCCAUGCGGCGUGUAUGAAGAAGGCCUUCGGGUUGUAAAGUACUUUCAGCGAGGAGGCGUUACCCGCAGAAGAAGCACCGGCUAACUCCGUGCCAGCAGCCGCGGUAAUAC
rnacentral:rRNA from 1 species